UUGAACCCUGAUCUCCCAGGGGAAAGGGCAAGGUUUGGUGUGUUGGGCCAGGGAGCUGGCAUGAUGGUGGCUGUCAUGUGUGAGUUAAGAGCUGGUUGCCCCAUGGAUUGCACCACAUGGUCUGGUCUUCCCUGCCUACAAACCAGGUGUGACAUACCAAUAGUGAUUACUGUGAACAGAACAGAACAAAGAAGAACAGGAGAGAGAACAGAAGAAACUUCUGAGAAUCAAGGUGAGCUAAAUAUAAUAUCUUAUUUCAGCAUGCUUGACCCUAGCUGAGGACUUUUAUGGUAAAAGGUGGACUAAGCAUUUGUUUCUUGUUAUGUUUUGUUCGUUUGCUUAUUUGUUUGUUUUCCUGUAGAAAACAAACAAACAAAUUGUAUUGUGGUCAAACAAUACAAUACCUGACAAAGCUCUGCUGAGAGCUGCCAUAACAAAAUAGGUUACAAUAUAUCUGUACAAUUAAUCUUAAAUCAUUCUAAAAAGGUUAUCGUAGUUGUUAUUUUAAUGAAAUAUUAUAGUAUAAAUUGUCAAUGUUAGAAGGAGCUUUAACGUUGUCGGUAGCGGCGUUGCGGUCGCCAUCUAGCUCGUCUUUGGAGGGAUGGGUGGGCUGGUGAGCACCAUGGAUCUAAUACAUCCAUGUUGAGCACACACUAAUGUGCGGGUAGGAGGAGCAGGGAGACUGGGCUUGAGCUUGGUCUCCAACAUAGUGGUAGCAGAAAGAUAACACAAGACGAAGGUUACAGAGAGGAUGAUUCUUCCAUAUUAUAUAACUUUUUAAAAAACAUGUACACCUCAUCUUAAUGGUUACCUCUUACUAUAUUGCUUGUCAUUUUUCUUGAAUGCAUAUAGGCUCAGGAGAGUGAAGAAUGUAGAGAGGAUGAAAGGAGCAUUGAAGCUCAUAUCAAUGAAAUGUCUAUAGAGAUGCUUAAGGUACACCCAGAUCUGAACUCUUUAAAGGGGAGAAUGAGACGAACCUAUGCAUACCGAAAGACCUUCAUGGCAACUGCCAAGGCAGAGGAAAUCAUCGAAAAGUUUCCCGCACUGAAGCUUCCUAAAAUAGUUGGUAUCUUCAAGCAUUGAAUUGACCAUAUUUAAUUGUAUGUGUAUUAUUUCAUUUAUGAUCAUCAAGUAUUUUGAGAUGACACUUUUUAUCCCUCCUUACAGCUUCUGUGGGAGAUGAAGGAGCAAUUCCUUGUAGAAGCUGAUGGUCACAGAGCUGGAUCGAAUGGCAACGAAGAUGGUUCAAAGAGCAUCUAUGCGUGACUUAAAGGACUGCUGCCAGAGGGCAAUCAAUGCCUGCCUGGAUGAUUCAGUAAGACGAGGACUCAUUAGGGAUGCAGCAAUUCUACUGCUGCCUUCCAUUUUCAGAGAGGACUCAUCUUUUCUAUACACUCUACUGUAGGAGCCAAGCGUGCCUACUCCAGCAAUCAUGCUCCAUAACACACACGAGGGGAACCCUUUGCAGGCACAAAGGAUAACCCUAUACCUGGAUGGUAUACAGGUUUUGACUGAGGACAGCAGCAUGGACAAAUCAUAUGCUAUGAGUGCAUUGUCACUCUAUAUUGUUUUUGCUGUCCAGUACCCAAAGGAACUGAGAAAAACUCUUAUUUUCAUUGAAAGAUUUGUGUUGGGGAUCAAGGACCACAGUGUUGUACCCAUUUCAGUGAAGAGACUAUACAACUGUGUCGGAAGUGGGGAGUAGUGAGUAGAUGUGUUGCAGCAUGGGAUUUCAUGCUUUAUGUUUUUGUUAAUGGUCAAAUUCCUGCUGCUGCCCUUUGUUUGUACAUAUUGAUAAAAAAAAAAUAUCCCUUAUUUAAUAUAUAUUUUGGACCAAUACAUUUUGUUUGAUUUUGGCAUAGUGACGUCUCUAGAUUUCCAUUAUUGUUACAAUACGUAACAUUUUGAGUACUUGUUACAUAACACUGAAAAGUAUUUCAACAUUAUUUAAAUCAAUGUGAAAACUUUGUGGGAUUCCCUCACUUUCUCAUGAUUCUGUUCCACUGUCACAAUUAGUACAUACAGUAUGUACACUGAUUCUUUUCAUUGGACCAUGCAUUAUUUUAUUGUUUGUAGAUAGCUUACAAUAAGGCGCAGUAAAUGCAGUAAGUGCACCUUGGAUUGAUUGAACUAAAACUAUUUUGUGUCUCUUUCUGCCAUGUCACCAUUGCUGGAGAUUUAUUUACACAAAUUCACCUACUGAGGACAGCAUGAUGUGUCUGGCCUGUCAUGUUGCUGAUUCCACUGGACCUAUGCUGACUUUUGACCUGUUCUCCCCUGGGACCUACACAGCCUCUCCUGUUUUGUUGGACUAUCUUUAAAUAAAUGUUUUUCUCAUUAAAAUGUUUUGAAUGUUUGUUCAAUGUCAACAUGAUAAAU